rnacentral:rRNA from 1 species
GGGUUGUGAGGUUAAGCGACUAAGCGUACACGGUGGAUGCCCUGGCAGUCAGAGGCGAUGAAGGACGUGCUAAUCUGCGAUAAGCGUCGGUGAGGUGAUAUGAACCGUUAUAACCGGCGAUUUCCGAAUGGGGAAACCCAGUGUGUUUCGACACACUAUCAUUAACUGAAUCCAUAGGUUAAUGAGGCGAACCGGGGGAACUGAAACAUCUAAGUACCCCGAGGAAAAGAAAUCAACCGAGAUUCCCCCAGUAGCGGCGAGCGAACGGGGAGGAGCCCAGAGCCUGAAUCAGUGUGUGUGUUAGUGGAAGCGUCUGGAAAGGCGUGCGAUACAGGGUGACAGCCCCGUACACAAAAAUGCACAUAUUGUGAGCUCGAUGAGUAGGGCGGGACACGUGGUAUCCUGUCUGAAUAUGGGGGGACCAUCCUCCAAGGCUAAAUACUCCUGACUGACCGAUAGUGAACCAGUACCGUGAGGGAAAGGCGAAAAGAACCCCGGCGAGGGGAGUGAAAAAGAACCUGAAACCGUGUACGUACAAGCAGUGGGAGCCUCUUAAUGGGGUGACUGCGUACCUUUUGUAUAAUGGGUCAGCGACUUAUAUUCUGUAGCAAGGUUAACCGAAUAGGGGAGCCGAAGGGAAACCGAGUCUUAACUGGGCGUUAAGUUGCAGGGUAUAGACCCGAAACCCGGUGAUCUAGCCAUGGGCAGGUUGAAGGUUGGGUAACACUAACUGGAGGACCGAACCGACUAAUGUUGAAAAAUUAGCGGAUGACUUGUGGCUGGGGGUGAAAGGCCAAUCAAACCGGGAGAUAGCUGGUUCUCCCCGAAAGCUAUUUAGGUAGCGCCUCGUGAAUUCAUCUCCGGGGGUAGAGCACUGUUUCGGCAAGGGGGUCAUCCCGACUUACCAACCCGAUGCAAACUGCGAAUACCGGAGAAUGUUAUCACGGGAGACACACGGCGGGUGCUAACGUCCGUCGUGAAGAGGGAAACAACCCAGACCGCCAGCUAAGGUCCCAAAGUCAUGGUUAAGUGGGAAACGAUGUGGGAAGGCCCAGACAGCCAGGAUGUUGGCUUAGAAGCAGCCAUCAUUUAAAGAAAGCGUAAUAGCUCACUGGUCGAGUCGGCCUGCGCGGAAGAUGUAACGGGGCUAAACCAUGCACCGAAGCUGCGGCAGCGACACUAUGUGUUGUUGGGUAGGGGAG